CCUACGGGAGGCAGCAGUGGGGAAUAUUGCACAAUGGGCGCAAGCCUGAUGCAGCCAUGCCGCGUGUGUGAAGAGGGCCUUCGGGUUGUAAAGCACUUUCAGCGGGGAGGAAGGCGUUAAGGUUAAUAACCUUGGCGAUUGACGUUACCCGCAGAAGAAGCACCGGCUAACUCCGUGCCAGCAGCCGCGGUAAUACGGAGGGUGCAAGCGUUAAUCGGAAUUACUGGGCGUAAAGCGCACGCAGGCGGUCUGUCAAGUCGGAUGUGAAAUCCCCGGGCCCAACCUGGGAACUGCAUUCGAAACUGGCAGGCUAGAGUCUUGUAGAGGGGGGUAGAAUUCCAGGUGUAGCGGUGAAAUGCGUAGAGAUCUGGAGGAAUACCGGUGGCGAAGGCGGCCCCCUGGACAAAGACUGACGCUCAGGUGCGAAAGCGUGGGGAGCAAACAGGAUUAGAUACCCCGGUAGUC
rnacentral:rRNA from 1 species